UAGGGAAUCUUCCACAAUGGGCGCAAGCCUGAUGGAGCGACGCCGCGUGAGUGAAGAAGGUCUUCGGAUCGUAAAACUCUGUUGUUAGAGAAGAACACGAGUGAGAGUAACUGUUCAUUCGAUGACGGUAUCUAACCAGCAAGUCACGGCUAACUACGUCGCUAG
rnacentral:rRNA from 1 species